rnacentral:tRNA from 1 species
UAAAAUAAAGCGAUAUAAUUGCAAUCAGUUUCGACCUGAACCUAGAAGAAAUUCUAUUUUUU